CCAGGAAGGCAUAAUGGUUUGAGCGUUGGACUACAACUCUGGAGACCAGGGUUCGAAUCCCUGCUGAG